UGUAUGGACCUUUGAACAAUAAUCGAGAAAUUAUGUAGAACCUUUUAAUCCUAUGAGUGUAAUGGAGUCACAGCCGAUGUUGAAGAGGCAGUACUUUCCUACAGUAACUUGAAAGAAAAACGACUUUUUUUUAUUAUUUGAGCCAUACACCUAUUAGGUUAAGUCCUUCGAUCAACAAUAGUAACUAGAUUUCGGGUCGGUGCAUAAAAUCCGUCUCGUCAAAUAACAGCGCACUUGAAAUGUGAGCUCUUAUUUUGUUUAGUUCACUUCAAACACAGCCAAUGUCAACCCGUCUCACAAUACCGCAGUGUGUAUUCAAAAGUUGCAAAAAUAAGGCCCGAAAAAGCAAUUUAACGGCCGGAGUAUCUUACUUUCGCUUUCCUAGCAAUCACGUGUGCAGAAUGGAUCUCGAUUGUCGCCAGAGAAACAAGAGAUGACUUUUAUAAGCCAGCUAAGAACUCCGCUAAUUGACACUGGACAUCUUUGCCUUCCGUGCUCACGGCUACUGAAAUGUGGCCGAAACAUUGUAAUAAAAAUACCACGCUUGAAACCGUUUAAACGUUGUUUUAUUAUGUGCACUGGUCGCGAAAACUUAAAAAUAUAUAUUACACAAAAACGUAACGCUAAUAAAAUAAUAAGUAAUGUAUAGAUACUAACAAACAUACAUUUCCAAAACAUAAAAAGUAAACAACUAAACUUUUACUUUAAUUCAUUAAUAAAUUAUUUUAGUGUUAAGCGCGACUCCCUUACCUCCUGUAGUAAAUAGAAAUCGGCAUUUCAAGAA